GACGAACGCUGGCGGCGUGCUUAACACAUGCAAGUCGAACGAGGUUCAUGGAGCUUGCUCCGGAAGACCUAGUGGCGAACGGGUGCGUAACACGUGAGAAACCUGCCCUGGACUUGGGAAUAACAGUCGGAAACGACUGCUAAUACCGAAUACCUUCACACCAUCGCAUGGUGAAGUGAAGAAAGCUUUUGCGGUUCAGGAGGGUCUCGCGGCCUAUCAGCUUGUUGGUGAGGUAACGGCUCACCAAGGCAUCGACGGGUAGCUGGUCUGAGAGGAUGAUCAGCCACACUGGGACUGAGACACGGCCCCAGACUCCUACGGGAGGCAGCAGUGGGGAAUAUUGCACAAUGGGCGAAAGCCUGAUGCAGCAACGCCGCGUGCGGGAAGAAGGCCCUAGGGUUGUAAACCGCUUUCAGCAGGGAAGAAAAUGACGGUACCUGCAGAAGAAGGUGCGGCCAACUACGUGCCAGCAGCCGCGGUGACACGUAGGCACCAAGCGUUGUCCGGAUUUAUUGGGCGUAAAGAGCUCGUAGGCGGUUCAGUAAGUCGGGUGUGAAAAGCUCUGGGCUCAACCCAGANAGGCCACCGAUACUGCUGUGACUCGAGUACGGUAGGGGACGGGGGAAUUCCUGGUGUAGCGGUGAAAUGCGCAGAUAUCAGGAGGAACACCAGUGGCGAAGGCGCCGCUCUGGGCCGUAACUGACGCUGAGGAGCGAAAGCGUGGGUAGC
rnacentral:rRNA from 1 species